GCAAGAAGCGUGUGGAAAAACCAAGGCGCAAAAUAACUGCCCAUGAACUGAGAAAAGUCAAGCGUGCAGCUGCCACGAUGCCACUUGCCACCAGUUUGGCCAUAUUUCAGAGCUGCAACAUCACUGGAGUGCCCAAAAGCACAAGGUGUGCAAUACUCAGAGACAUGGCCAAGGUAAGAAAGGCUGAAAGACGACCACCACUGAACAAGACACACAAGCUGAAACGUCAAGACUGGGCCAAGAAAUAUCUCAAGACUGAUUUUUCUAAGGUUUUAUGGACUGAUGAAAUGAGAGUGAGUCUUGAUGGGCCAGAUGGAUGGGCCCGUGGCUGGAUUGGUAAAGGGCAGAGAGCUCCAGUCCGACUCAGACGCCAGCAAGGUGGAGGUGGAGUACUGGUUUGGGCUGGUAUCAUCAAAGAUGAGCUUGUG